CGGCAAGAAUAAGCGCCUGACGAAAGGC
rnacentral:piRNA from 1 species